GUGAGGAGAACUCUUUCCAGCUGGGCAGUUCCCUCUUGUGCUGAGAAAUGCUAGCUUGGGGGAUGGGAUGAGGCAGGCAAAAUGAAGCUGUCUUCCUUCUCUUCUUGUGUGGUUAUUCUCAGGGUUUUUUGUUCUGCUGUGUUGCUGGAAUUUCUUAAGUGGGCCCCAGAGCUUUCCCAGAGCUGUUUUUGUUCCUGGAUAGCUGUCUAAUUGUUGAUCUUUGUGGGGAGACAGAGGCUGGGGUCUCCUACUCUGCCAUUUUGGUGACUUCACCUCAGAAAUGCUUUAGUUGUAUGCACAAUGCUCUUUAACAUGUCUUUGUAAAUUUAUUCCUGGUUUUUUAAUUUUUUUGAUAAUCAUAAAUUUAAGUUACUAAAAAAAUUUAUUUUUCUUAAUGUUUGUUGCUGGUGUAUAUAAAUAUAAUUUUUUUUCUGUGUUGAUCCUGUAUUCAGUAACUUUGCUAUACUCGCUAAUUCAAUAAUCUAUCUAUAGCUUAUUUGUGUUUUCUAGGUAUACAUCAUAUUAUUUGCAAAUAACAAAAAUUUUAUUUCUUCUUUUCCUACAUUUAUAAAUUUUAUUUUAUUUAUUUUUGCCUCGCUGCAUGGCCUAAGACCUGAGUAAAAUGUUUAUUAGAAGUGAUGACAGCAGGCAUUAUUGUCUUAUUUCUAAUCUCAGAGGGAAAGCAUUUGGCAUUUCACUAUUAACCAUCCUUGUGAGCGUGAAGUGGUAUCUCAUUGUGGUUUUGGUUUGCGCUUCCCCAGCAAUUGGAUAUAGUCUCAAACCACCACCAUUGUGUGUGCAAAGCGCCUUAUUCCCAGGAAGCCCAAAGACUGCUCCCGGUCCAGGUCUCUUGUAGUGAGUGGGUCAUAGAGACACACUACAUUUGUGGGAUCAGAUUCAACUGUCAAAGAGGAACCUGCCUGGCUCCAGCAAAACCAAGUACAAAUCCCUGACAGCAAGAGUUGGAUUCCACAGCAACGCUCCUUUCAGCUGGUAAAAUCGUUAUUGCUGGUGAAGCGCAGGAGGCCCGGGCUGCUGUUUCCCCUUGAGAAACUCAGUGAAAGUGUAUGUCAUGGUGAGAGUUGUCGGAACAUUUUGCUGCGGAAGAAAGAGAGGACCAGAGGAGAACGUUCCCUUUGACAAGUUCAGGAUUCUUUUCCCUCUGAACAGAAUGACAAUUUAGCCUUCAGAUUUUUCCUCGCUCCCUUUUGGCCGCUUAUUUGUGCUUUGUAUGGAAAGGGGGAUUUAGUGGUAGGUAGAGAGGCCUAGUGACAGCUCCCGGCCCCUCUCGCCUCCUCUCCCAUGUCUCAUACUCACAACCCGGCAGUAAACGAGGGGAGUAACUUGAGAAUUCUGUUUAUAAU
rnacentral:lncRNA from 1 species